CGAACGACUCUCGGCAACGGAUAUCUCGGCUCUCGCAUCGAUGAAGAACGUAGCGAAAUGCGAUACUUGGUGUGAAUUGCAGAAUCCCGCGAACCAUCGAGUCUUCGAACGCAAGUUGCGCCCGAGGCCCCGGCCGAGGGCACGUCUGCCUGGGUGUCACGCA
rnacentral:rRNA from 1 species